GUGGGCGUCGCUUCCGGUUUGGUUUUGGGUCGGACUUCCUGUUUGCCUCAGACAUGAAUGCGCAGUCUGGACGGCAGCUCUUCGGUCGUCAUUGCUCUGUUUUAUCAUUCUCCAGAUUGUACGUCACUGUUGCAGCAUCCUGACCCGGGGGCCUGCAACACCAACCACUUUUUUCAUACAUGG